rnacentral:rRNA from 1 species
AUCAUUAAGCGGAGGAAAAGAAACCAACGGGGAUUCCCCUAGUAGCGGCGAGUGAAGCGGGAUAAGCCCAGCACCGAAUCCCCAGCCCUGUACGGUCUGAGGGAACUGUGGUGUUUGGGACGUACGAUUCGGCGGGUGGACACGGCGUCUAAGUCUCCUUGAACGGGGCUCCAUCCCACGGCGGGUGCCAGGCCCAUGUCGACGUCAGUCCGCCUGUCUACGUGCGUCCUUGGAGUCGGGUUGCUUGGGAAUGCAGCUCAAAGUGGGUGGUAAACUCCAUCUAAGGCUAAAUACAGGCACGAGUCCGAUAGCGAACAAGUACCGUGAGGGAAAGUU